UGAAAACCAUUGGGAAAAUGCAAUAC
rnacentral:piRNA from 1 species